rnacentral:rRNA from 1 species
UACGUAGGUGGCAAGCGUUGUCCGGAAUUAUUGGGCGUAAAGCGCGCGCAGGCGGUCCUUUAAGUCUGAUGUGAAAGCCCACGGCUCAACCGUGGAGGGUCAUUGGAAACUGGGGGACUUGAGUACAGAAGAGAAGAGUGGAAUUCCACGUGUAGCGGUGAAAUGCGUAGAGAUGUGGAGGAACACCUGCGGCGAAGGCGGGUUGCUGGGCUGACACUGACGCUGAUGCGCGAAAGCUAGGGGAGCGAACGGG